rnacentral:lncRNA from 1 species
GCGGGAGCCUUGAGAGAGACCCCCUGAGUUUCCCAUGGGGAGCUGAAGUUUGGUUCCUGCCUCUCACUGUGCAUGGUGAUUUAAAAUACGUACCCAUCAUGGGAUACAUGUUGACUGAAUCCACCUGCAUUGGGAUGACUGCUGCAGAAGGCAUUGACUCUGUUUCAUCCCUGCACUUAUUUGGGCUCAUGUGCAAUGCUGAGCUACCCAGAGGACAUCUGUGUGAGUUCCAGCAGCAGCAGCCAAUCAGCUAAUCAUCCUUUUUCCAGUGCCAGGCGAGGUUGACUGGGACCCUGAGUUUGGUUCUACCGUUUGGAAAUAACACAGAGGAUUACUUCUUGGGGUCUCUCAGCCAACCAAAGUCACUUCUUAAGACUGGGCCUUUCUACAGAGGAAUCUUAGGAGCAGAGGCUCUUAGAUCAGAUGAGAAAAGGGUGAUGGAGAAUCUGGUUUUCCUUCUCAGAUCGUUCCUUUCAAGUCCCAUCCUAAAGACUUCACCAACGCUGAGGUCCAACUAUCCUGAUCAGAAUUCAAACCAGGUUCCCAUGAGCACUGGCUCAUCCACAAAGUUAGUAGGCUUGGUAAUGGCCAGGCCUUGAAUUCCCAGAGUCUUGGAUUGACCCAACCAGGGAGUAGUUGGAGAGACACAUGACAAGGGCCAUGCCCUGGAAAGCUGGGCCAGAGCACCUAUCAGUUGAUCACAAUUGCAGGGCAUGAGGAACUUGGAAUAGAAAACAGAGUACAAAGAACUCAUCAGAACACCACAGACAGGACCUCUUGAUCACUGGAGAAGCUAUUCAGGCAGCCACUGUCCCCAGAGAACCCCAGGAAAGAACAAAAACAGGGGUGUCAUUUUGGAGCCUUCAGUCAAGAAUCAUCUCCUGUUCUUGGCUGGGCUGCCAUGAGGGUGGGGUGCACACAGAGCCCUGGGAAAGGAAGAAAACACGGUUGCAACACCACUAUUUUGUUUCUUCUAACACCCUCCUUUUUCCCCACUCACAUUUGAGCACUUACGGGCAUCAUUUGUUCUAAAACAAAGGAAGAAAAAUAUAUCUGUUAUGAGUUCCCUCUGUGCUUGACUGAGUUACCUGGCAUUGGGAUGGCUUGUUUUCUGGGAUGCCCAGAGCUGUACACAUUCCUUUCUGGGGUGAAUACUUCGUAUAGAGAGACAUAAACAGCCAACUAGGCUGCAGGGAGUAAACCCUGUUACUAACUUUUCUUUCUUUGGUGCUACAUUCCUGCGGAGAUAAAUAUAUAGAAAGACAGACAGAUUAUAAAGGAGGAAGGGCAUUGUGUCAGCAUGAGGGCUCCAAGAGAACAAAAAGGGUUAUCGUGUGCAAAGGUUGAAAAUAGAAUUUAAAGCUAUCAGGACUGGGGAAAGAGUUGAGGCCUCCCAGGAAAAAUCUGCAAAGAAAACUUGAACCUUCCAGGAAAACAAGCCCUGGGUAGAGUUGGGUGAAACUGAAACCUGAAAAUCCAUUUUCCAGAAAUGCGAUUGGGCAGAGAGGAGGGAAGCCACUACUAUCAAGUUUUUCCCAGAGCAAGCAAGGCACGCUGGCUUUGUACAAAGAGGCUUAUUUAGAAGCUGCCCUGAGCUGAAUGCAGGCAGGUGGGGCAGGGUGGGAGGGUGGGAUGGGUCGUUGAAAUGAGCCAUCCUAACCUUUCAGACAGAAACAGUGCAGCCUAGCUGCUCUGAGGUGCAUGUUUCUAAAACAAGACCUGGAACAUUAAUUUUACAUUUCAGUCUCUUUGUAAAAAGCAGAUGCUCCUCGCCCACCCCCUUGUUUUUUUUUGGCAAGCUUGUGAAAAUCCAACGAACCAAGUCAAGGCUGUCCGCUAGCCACGGGUGCCUUUAUCUUGUGGAGUAUCUGUUCCUUUGUGGAUCAAGCAUGGAAUGAAAACCGUGCUGAAGAAAGGUCGCUUCUCAUUUUAGACUCCAUUUCAAUGGGUAGUUAACCUCUGAGUCAACCGACUCUGUACCCAUGUUCAAUUUCCUCCGCCUGUUGGGCUCUUCCAUUUACCCUCUUUUAUAAUUAGAGUACAUCUUGUUUACAGUGCACAAAGCUGGUUUAAGAUCCAGUUGGCCAUGUGCCCUCUCGUUACAGGACCGUGCUCAGAACAGUCAGCUGUGAGUGCAGCCAGUGGGAUGAAAAAAACUAAGGGAAGGAAGCUGCCCUUUAAGGAACCUCGGCCUUACUGAUUAAAGUAAUAAUUAAGCCAUUAUAUCUGUUGGGGAGCUAUUUGGGCUUGCCUGCUACCUUUUCCAACAAAAGCCCUCAGCCAGAGAUUCCAGCCAAGCACCUCAUUAUCAUGUGGGUGCCAGGGCGGCAUGCCAGGAUCGGCACCCACCCCAGGCAACAUGGUUUAAAUUUUAAACACCUGUCAUCUCCCUGCCUCCAUGUAUCAUUCAUUUUCAGAGGGGAAAGUGACCCUAACAGGAAGUGGGGCUGCCUGAUUCUGGGUUUGCCUUUGAAAGCCAGAAAUGACCCUUCUCCUGAAAUUUUAUUCCAAAUUUAAUUUGAAGCUAUCUCAGUCUAGAAAUAGAUUUGCAUUGGCAUCUCUUGUUGCAGUUGGUAAGGAAAGGAAUUUAGGAUUCAAUUAGAAUUGGUCUUCAUUCUUAACAAGAUUGUUGUCUUAAAGACAAGAAAUAUAUAGCAUGUCUCACUGCAUCCCUCCACUCCCCACCAUGGCAAAAAGGGCCCUGGCAUGCAUAUGUGAUUUUGUGACAUGCAAAGAUCCACUUUUACAACUCCAUGGAGGCAUAUCUUAUUUAGAGAACACUAAGGUAGUUUAAGGCUCUCACUGGCCACUUGCCUUCUUAAAACAGAGACAACCUAUGGAUUAGAGAGGAAGCAAGACUGGAGAAGGCAGUUUGCACCGAUUGGGGCAGGGCAGGUAGAGGAGUGAGCAUGGUUGUAAUAAACUGGGUGGAAUUUAAGGUCUCAGUCCAAAGGCAUCCCAUCUUGCUCCUUCUGGACCCCGUCUCAAGCCUGGCUCCAGCUCCUGAGUCCCACGGCUCUCCAAGGCCUCUUUCUGUUCAUCACAGCCUACGGAGAGAGAUGCAAAGUGGUUUGUGUUUAUUUUAGAAAUAAUCUCAACGUUGCCAGGAAAAGGCUUUCUGGAAAAUGCUGCAGAACUAAAGCUGGUCCAGUAGAAACCGGUGUAAGUGCAAAGAGCAGAGCCAGCUCCUCCCCAGCUCUUUCCCCAGGCUGUUCUUCCUGCUUUUUGAUCUCAGCCUCACUCUACUCCAUCCCUUCUUGAUCCAAGUCCAGAGUCUCUUUCACACCAGCCACGCUGCCAGCAUUGUCGGGAGGUUUGAUGUGGUGUGAAUUCCUGCCCCUGGGAGAUGGACGGAGAAAUUCACAGAAUCUUGGGAAAAGAGAGCUUGGGAAAAUCCUGAAGUCUCUCUUUGCAGCCUUUCUUCUACCAACAGACAAGAUGGAAACUGGCCAUUUCAGAGCACUGGCUUCAAGGAUGUCUAAGGGUGUACUCCAACAUGAAAACGGAGCAUGCAUGUGAGCUGAGUAGUGACAUGCAACAUGCAUGUCCAUUGAUCCUUGCUGCUCAUUCACAUACAGUGUUCGCGAUGCCCCCUGGACACAGAAUUCCAGUGGACCCACCACGUGUGGGGAUUCAGGGGAGACUCAAAGCAAAUACAAGGUUCCAUACAGAUAGCCAGCCAUGGGAGUCAGAAUUUGAACUCAGAUCUGGUCUGGUUCUGAAGCCUCUCUUCUUUCCAGCUGUGAGACAAAGGAGCAAAUAUGAGAAGCACCUUUUGCUCACUUCUGCUUGCCAGCAGAAUUUCACAAAAGCCCUGGACUGUGAAGAUGUUUGGAAAGAUGCUUUGAAGACAAAACCUUUAACAGGGUUAGUGUUUAUGCCUCUGUAAUCUACAACCGGAUGCGCUCUUACACCCAAGCCUUGAUGGGAUUCUGCUGCGACGGAAAUUCUGAGCAAAUUUGAUGUGAUUGUGCAGGUACUGAACCUCCACUUCCUGUCUGUAAGCAGUGGGCUGAAAUCCUGGGCUGGAGCAGUCUCAUAGGAUCUGACAGGCUGUUGCCAGGCUGUAGGCCUUGGUCUGUAGUCCUCAGUAAGACUUCUGAAUACAACUAACUUUAAUUCUUUAAAAGCUUGACUGUUUUCUUUAGUCGGCAUGGCAUUCCAUACCAUUCCAGAAACAGAAGCCAGGAGGAUACGUGAAGGAGAGAGCAAUGGCAUAGUGUGUGAAGCUGAUUAGCUGUUAACUAGCAGAACUGAGAGAAGGCAGCCGGCCAAAUGCCCCGGAGGGGCAAGGAAAAGCUUUUUCAGAGAGUUGGGAAGUGGCACUCCAGUGAGGUCGGAAGCCAUGAAGGUUGACUUAUUUAUUCCACAGUAGCUACAAGAAGAGGGGUCUUUCUAGGGAGUGUGACCAGUUUAAGCAAAGGCUUGGGAGGAGGAAUAAUAACGUGCUGGAAGUGGGAAAGGGGACCUGGUUAAGGGGCUGAAAGUUAUUCCUUGUGGAUCACCUUCUCAUCACACGCUCUUUGACCUCAUUGUAGUUCAAUGGAGGGAAAGAGAGUCAAAAGCAGGAGGGAAGUUUGUUUCUAAGCGGACAGGGGCUCAGCAAACCCAGUCUUCCCCGCAGUCUUACCUGGAGCCAUUGCCUGGGGAAGAGGGUGUUCAGGCCACAGUAUCCCAAGGCUGGGGGCACCUUUGCUCAGAAGCCCCCUGUGGUGCUGCUCCUCAAGAGCCUCCUGGGAGGAAGGGCCAGGGAGCCAGGCGGUUCUCCCUUCCCCUUCUGGAAUCCUGGCCAGUUUCCAUGUACAUAACCCAGCUUAAUCCAUAGAAACAGGAGCUGCAAGGCAUGUUCUUUCUCUUUUUUUCCUCUCCAAGACACGGAAACCUUUAUUUUCUCCCUACAUCACAAACCGGUACUGUUAAAUAAUAUUGGAUAAUUGCACCUGUCGUACUCCCCAUAUUGUGCUGGGGAAAAAUAAUUGCUGGUUUUCUGCUUUGCCGUUUAGCUGUGACUCCGUCAUUUGACUCGGAGCAUGUCAUUUUCUCCCAUUUUAGACCGUGUACAGUCAAACCCUGUGAAAGGACUCACAGAUAGCGGCCCUGCGUGUAUGAGUGGGCGCGGGCCUCAUUCAGCAACGAUUUCUAAUUUAUACAGCAUUGAAUAUCCACAGCUAUAAAUAAACAGUUCUGACUGGCUUUGCUGCCUACUCAAAUGCUUUAUUAAAAAAAAAAAAGUCACCAGCAACUGCAUGAGAAAGGAAAACAAGAAUGUCUGGAUGUGGAUUCUGGCUUCUGAAUCCUGGGCUUGGGAGUGGAGACGCCCCACCUUGGGAGCGGCUCAGUGCUCAGCCCCUCCAGUUUUUGGAAGGCCUGGCCUCCUCGCUCCUCGCUCAGCCCCUCACGCUCCCCACGUGUGGGUGCAAUGUGUUUGGGGAUUACAGUAUAUGAAACUGGCUUCCUGUUAUGACAAGUAUUGCAAGUGAGUAGGUGUGGAGGAGCUGAAAAUAGCUUAAGAAAUGUAGGACCCUUCUGGGGAGAGAAUGGGGUUAAGGCAUUGUUUAGGCAACAAGACGAAUCUUCUACCCAAAUUCAAAAUUGGUUUCAAAUGUGAGACAGCAACACUGGAACAGAAGCAUGAGUAUAGGCCAGUCCCUGGGGUAGUGGUGGCAGCGUCCUUCCUCCUCCUGUAACGGGGACAGUUUCCACCAAUUUGGGAUCUCUUGACCACCUUCUUUUGUCCAGCUCUGCAAGAUGUGGACACAUUUCUGUUUUGUUUUUUAAAUAAAGUUUUUGGAUGACCCGGUACUGCUUUGCUCUGUAAGAAAGAGGAAGGAAAGUGGGCUCAGGAGUCAACUAUCCAUGUGACCUUGGACUUGUCAUUUCCCUGCUCUGAACGCAGAGGUGUGCUGGAGCCAGUUUGCACAACAGGCUCUCGAGGACUAAGUGGUUGUCCACAUCUCUUCCCAACUGUACAUUCAGCAACGUGCUGCCAGCUUGAAAAAGGCCAUGGGGAGAGUGUUUACACCAUGGAAAUGAGCACACAUUAUCAAUCAGAGCCUGACAUCUUUUCCCCAGAGAGCUGGUUGUUAAACCUUUCCCAGCACACCACCCUCAGAAACUCAGUUUGCUCAUUUGUAAAAUGAGAACGUAACUCAUCUCCUACUUACGAAGUUUCCGUGGGCUAGAAUAAGUGGGAGUGGUGAUGAAUUACUUGACACUACACAAAUAUUGCUGGUAUCAUCAUGUGGUUGCUAUAGUUGUCAUUUUCUAUUAAGGGCCUAACAUAGUGCUAUGCAAUCUGCAAAUACCAUAUACCUUUUAGCAAAUGUUUAAUCAGUGUGUUAUUGUUUUGUUGUGUAUCUUUUCUUAAGCUACUGCAGCACCGAGCAUGCCCUUGUGUGCUUAGGCAUGUGCUCAAUGGGAAAUUGUUCCGAGACAUUUCUAGUGUUGGAAGAGAUAUUGCACAAUGGCCAGGCAUGCUGCAAUCAAGGUUUAAUUUGGUCCUAGGGCCAGUAAAGCCACAAAUAGAAAUUUGCAGGCUCAUCCCCACCAAGAGCUUACUGUGACUGAGAGUUACGCAGCCCGAGUCACCUCUGGGGUGUGGAACAUUUGGGUGAUCCCCCGAGGGCUUCACGUUUGGGGAAUUUCCACUGUGGCAACUGUUUCUGAGCUCCUGCUGAGACCAGGUGCUUGGAGCAGUGAAGAGGCAGCAGUAGAUGUGGGGAAAGAGGUGGUAUUCCCAGCUCCAACUGGAAAAGACUUGAGGCCCAUAUUAACAGAACAGUAGAAAAAGAAGUGGGAAUUAAGCAGGUUUCUUGGUGCCUGCCCUGGUCUUCCCUUAGGCUGCCUUCCCACCUGAGAUAUUCUGUCCUCUUCUGUAACCCUUCAAGACCACUCUUGCUCAUUUUUACCAGAUUUCUCCUACAUAAUGUUAGGUUGGGAAGUCCAAGUCCAAUUUCCUUCAGUGUCCACACCCCAACCCAUAUGAGCCUAGUGACAUACUAGUAGACUCAAAUAUGUCUACCCACCAAUAGCCAUUUGCCAUUUGUGUUCUUUAAAAAAUGUGCCCACAAAUAAAGGCCAGGAAAAUAACACUAGGAAAAUCACAGCAGGGAUCAUGAAUCCUUGUUAAGCAUCUGGAAAUCAGCUUUGUUAAACCACACACUAAUUCAGAAAAGUGCUUUGUAGCAAAGCAAUCUCAACAGCCCUUAUAAUUCUAUCACUUCCCAUCCAGAUUCUUCUGCAAGCAAAAUUUAUUACUAUACCAUUUAUUUGAUGAAUUAAUCAAUGUUCAAAUGGAAGAGGUUUUGACAAUGUCACUAUGUUUGA